CGUGCCAGCAGCCGCGGUAAUACGUAGGGUGCAAGCGUUGUCCGGAAUUAUUGGGCGUAAAGAGCUCGUAGGCGGUUUGUCGCGUCGGCUGUGAAAGCCCGGAGCUCAACUCCGGGUCUGCAGUCGAUACGGGCAGACUUGAGUGUUGCAGGGGAGACUGGAAUUCCUGGUGUAGCGGUGAAAUGCGCAGAUAUCAGGAGGAACACCGGUGGCGAAGGCGGGUCUCUGGGCAACAACUGACGCUGAGGAGCGAAAGCGUGGGGAGCGAACAGGAUUAGAUACCCUGGUAGUCCACGCCGUAAAC
rnacentral:rRNA from 14 species